GCCGACCGAACUGUUACGUCUCCUCUUCAGGGGUUUGGAUGACAGGUAUGGAUCUAUAGGAGCAGUCUUUUUUUUUUUUUUUUUUUUUUUAAUUAAGAAAAAUUUGUAUCUGUAUGCAUGCAUAUGGGCUCGUGCCCAUCUGAGUGUAGGUAAUCUAGGAAGCCAGAUGACGUGUUCAAAUCCUCUGGAACGGGAGUUGAGGCUGACAUGGGUGUUGGCAACAGAACUCGGGUCUUCUGCAAGAGCAGUACACACGCAGCUGCCGCUCUUAACGCCACGCCAUCUCUGUGGCCCCUGCUGUUCUUGGUCAGAAUCUUCCUUUUCACUGGGUUUUCUUCUCAGAGCCUGCUCUUCUCCUAAGUUGUUUUUGCGUGGCCCUUCUUUCUGUACUCAUUAAAGUUUUAAGAUCUGGCUAAAAGAACCACAGGGCGGAGGUCCUGGGCAACUGCCAUCGACUCCUAACUCAUCUCAACUCAGAAUCACACUUAGAUCAUGUAUUCAUAGCAGGCAGAGGACAGAAAAUAUGGCAGCUUUUUAGGUUAGCCUAGGCGAAGACUAGUUUAUACACUGGAGAAUUUCUUUCAUACUGUUUAGAAGCAGUUUUAAAUAAUCUACGCUGUUUGGGAGGUUAGUGGAGUUGUGCCAGUCUUUCUGGUUUGUUGUUGUUGUUGUUGUUUUAAUUAAUUUAUUUUUUAAGACAGGCUCUCACUGUCUUGACUGUCUUGGACUCACUAUGUAGACCAGGCCUGCCUGGGCCUCCUGGGUGCUGGGAUUAAGGUGUGUGUUAUACAACGCCUGCCAGUUGUGCCAGUCUUGACCCAGCAUUCCCAUUGUCCACUACAUGCUCAGCAGAGGGUUCCAUGGCCAUCCCUGACAGGAGUACUUGGUAGGUUGUAGCUCUCUCCUGUGUCCCAGCUCCCUCAUGUAUGUAGAUGAGGACCCAGGUCUGGCCAAGAGCCAGUGUUUUCCCUAGUUUUCUUUGAUAGGAGCUAAUAGCAAAAGGUAAACUUACUAUCAGUUAACCACCCCAAACCCAAAACUGAAAAUUCAGAAUGCUCCUAAUUUUGAGGGCUUAUAUGCUGCCACAAGUGGAAAACUUUAUACCCGAUUUCAUCUGAGAGGUCACAGGCAAACCUAGGUACAUAGCUGGGGUGCGGCUCAGAGAUGGAGCACGUGGCUCCCUCACUCAUGUUAGAGCUUGUGCUCAGCGCUGUAAACCACAGGCACCGAAUGCAUGCCCACUCAGAAUACUCUCUGAAAUUUCCUUCAGGCCAUGUGUAUUCCUAUAUGUAAAAUGUAAUUUUUUUGUUUGUUUGUUUAGACUUGGGUCUCAUCCCUAAAAGCAUUCCAGAAUCUGAAAAAAAAAAAAUCUGAAAUCUAAAACAGUCUUUCUGUUUGUAAUUGUUUGCAGUAUGUGACACUCAGUUUGUACUUGGUAGUUUAUUCCUGACUUAGGAAUUUCUACCCUUCUUCCCAGGGAAUUAAGCUAGUGUAUACUCUUUACCCAGCAGCACAGAGAGCACAUAGUAGGUGCUGCUAGACAUUUGUGUUCGUGUUAAUUUCUUCUGGUUUGCUGUGAAGGUGGAGAUAAGGAAAAGACUCUACAGUGGAAUUGACUUAGAAGGACAUGUGUCUGCUGUAUAUUAAAAAGCUUAGUGGAUAAAAGUGGACCUAUUCUUAGCUACAUGGGAUUCUUGUUUUCCUCAGUAACAUUUAUUCGACUAUUUUAAGGAAAUCAUGGAAAAUAUUGACUUCCUUCCUAAUGGUGUCCCCUGAGGCUUCCUGCACUGCCACUGAGCUUGCUCCACACGAGUGGUAUGUGACUCUGGACCUAGCUUCAGAAAUGGGAAAUGACUUGAGCAACAAUUGCAAGGAAGUAGAGGUCAGAGGUCAGCAUUGAGAAAACUCAGCGGAAGAGUAGAAUGUUGUAGCCGUUUCCCACAUUCCUUAGCAGUGUUUUGGGCAUUGAAGCUCUUUUAAUUGAGAAAGGAAACGAGGUCUUUGAUUGGCAGCUGGGUGAUGGGGCUGUGCGGUGGAGGUGCAGGGAGGCUUCUGUCUACAGAGAAACUUCCAGGAAUGAACACUGGAUUUGCAAGUUUCUUAGAAGUAGAUUGGACUAUCAGAAUGUUCCUAUACGCAGGCUACUUUGAGCUUGUGGGGAGAGAAAUGGAUUUUGGGGAAACAUUCUAAUUUAAAAAAAUGUUUUAUUCUUUCAGAUGUUACUUCAAUCCUAUGCAAAUAUUUUGAACUUUAAGAGUAAUGUACCACAUGUACUUGCAUAGGUCUAGAACUUGUAAGAAUGUGGUAUAGCAUUAGCAUUACCUGGUAUUCAUUCAUUCAUUUAUUUUUAUGUAUAGCCAGUCUGGUCUACAGAGUGAGUUCCAGGACAGCCAGGGCUACACAGAGAAACCCUGUC
ensembl:sense_intronic Gm38115 predicted gene, 38115